GACGAACGCUGGCGGCGUGCUUAACACAUGCAAGUCGAGCGGACAGGCCCUGCUUUUGUGGGGUGCACGAGUGGCGAACGGGGGAGUAACACGUGAGUAACCCGUCCCUGACUUUGGGGUAACUUCAGGGAACAGGGGCUCUUAUCGGGUAGAAGCUCUUGAUCCGUAUGGGGGGUUGGUAAAAUUCGGCGGUGGUGGAUGGACUAGCGGGUUAUGCGCUUGAUGGGGUGGUUGUGGUUUUCCCAGGCUAUGACGGGUAGCCGGCCUGAGAGGGCGACCAGCGACAUUGGGCCUAAGAUACGGCGCAGACGGCUACGGGAGGCAGCAGUGGGGAAUAUGGCACAGUGGGGGGAAGCCAGAGGCAGCAGCGCCGCGUGCGGGAUAACGGCCUUCGAGGUGUAAACCGAUUUGGCCUGUGACGAAGCGUGAGUGACGGUAAUGGGUAAAGAAGCACCGGCUAACUACGUG
rnacentral:rRNA from 1 species